GGCGCUAUAGCCAAGUGGUUAAGGCGAUAGAUUAGAAUUACACAGGCAAAGUACUGCCAGUAGAUUCAUCUAUUCCCCUCUGGGGUCGCAGGUUCGAAUCCUGCUGGCGUCG